GUCUACGGCCAUGCUACCCUGAACAAACCCGAUCCCGGAAGCCUGAUCUCGCAAGCUAAGCAGGGUUGGGCCUGGUUAGUACUUGGAUGAGAGAUCACCUAGGAAGACCAGGUGCUGUAGGUG
rnacentral:rRNA from 1 species